rnacentral:rRNA from 1 species
CAGUCGCCGCGGUAAUACAGAGGGUGCGAGCGUUAAUCGGAUUUACUGGGCGUAAAGCGUGCGUAGGCGGCUUCUUAAGUCGGAUGUGAAAUCCCUGAGCUUAACUUAGGAAUUGCAUUCGAUACUGGGAAGCUAGAGUAUGGGAGAGGAUGGUAGAAUUCCAGGUGUAGCGGUGAAAUGCGUAGAGAUCUGAAGGAAUACCGAUGGCGAAGGCAGCCAUCUGGCCUAAUACUGACGCUGAGGUACGAAAGCAUGGGGAGCAAACAGGAUUAGAUACCCGGGUAGUCCCUGUCUCUUAUAC